rnacentral:rRNA from 1 species
GAAUUCGAUUCAGGCCUAACACAUGCAAGUCGAACGAUGAAGCACCUUCGGGUGUGGAUUAGUGGCGAACGGGUGAGGAACACGUGAGAAAUCUGCCUUCAACUCUGGGAUAACUCCGGGAAACCGGGGCUAAUACCGGAUAUGAGCCUUGAUCGCAUGAUCGAGGCUGGAAAGUUUUUCGGUUGAAGAUGAUCUCGCGGCCUAUCAGCUUGUUGGUGAGGUAAUGGCUCACCAAGGCGACGACGGGUAUCCGGCCUGAGAGGGCGACCGGACACACUGGGACUGAGACACGGCCCAGGCUCCUACGGGAGGCAGCAGUGGGGAAUAUUGGGCAAUGGGGGAAAGCCUGACCCAGCGACGCCGCGUGAGGGAUGAAGACGGUCGGGUUGUAAACCUCUUUCAGUAGGGAAGAAGCGAAA